GGGCGAUUAGCUCAGUUGGCUAGAGCGCCACGUUUACACCGUGGAAGUCGGGGGUUCGAGCCCCUCAUCGCCCA
rnacentral:tRNA from 1 species